CCUACGGGUGGCAGCAGUGAGGAAUAUUGGUCAAUGGGCGCGAGCCUGAACCAGCCAAGUAGCGUGAAGGAUGACUGCCCUACGGGUUGUAAACUUCUUUUAUAAAGGAAUAAAGUGAUGCACGUGUGCAUUUUUGCAUGUACUUUAUGAAUAAGCAUCGGCUAACUCCGUGCCAGCAGCCGCGGUAAUACGGAGGAUCCGAGCGUUAUCCGGAUUUAUUGGGUUUAAAGGGAGCGUAGAUGGUUUGUUAAGUCAGUUGUGAAAGUUUGCGGCUCAACCGUAAAAUUGCCAUUGAUACUGGAAGACUUGAGUGUGGUUGAGGUAGGCGGAAUUCGUGGUGUAGCGGUGAAAUGCAUAGAUAUCACGAAGAACUCCGAUUGCGAAGGCAGCUUACUAAGCUGCCACUGACAUUGAUGCACGAAAGUGUGGGUAUCAAACAGGAUUAGAUACCCGUGUAGUC
rnacentral:rRNA from 1 species